ensembl:lncRNA
AUCACACCAACCAUAACGACACUCAGAAGUACAAACGCUACCUCUCCACCCCCGCCAUUAGCAAACCAAAUGAACUGUCCCGGAACAGAAAAUUAAGCCCUGGUUCCCAUGCGGCAGGCGUUCCCCAUGGACCAGUUUGCCAGACGGACAGGAAGAAAGUGUGGUGCUAUGUGUGUAUGCAAAGGUAAACGGCUAAAUGGUAGCAUCCAGGGAAAUGCGACCCUCGCUUUUCACAGGUGGUUUUAUGAUGCGGCCUCUGCCUGGUCCUGCUCCCGCUGUAAUUCUCCGGCUUCGGGGAGACAGUGCUCUAAUCUGAUCCAGGCUCCUCUCCGUGCGGCCGCUCCGGCUGUAAUUCACCGGGACGUGACUCAGAGAGGGGAUGUCGCUGUCUGCCUCCCCCAAGGGGGUCCGAUCUGCCACCAUCACCACGCUCUGCUGCCCUAGCUACCUUGACCAUCAAAACGCCUCGGUGUCCAAUGGACGCGCACCGCCAUGCCGUGUCCCCGGCAGCUCCGUGUGUGUGUGUGUGUGUGUGCUUGUGUGUGUGUGUGUGUGUGUGGGGGGGGGUAUGUGCGUGCUUUUGUGUGUGUGUGCGGGGGGGUAUGUGUGUGUGUGUGUGUGUGUGUGUGCAUUUCCGUGUGGGUGUGUGGCAUGAGUCUGUGUUUUUGUGUCUUGGUGUAUGGUGCGUGCAUGUGCGUGAAUGUGUGCAUAUGCGAGCGCUUGUGUGUGUGUGUGUGCGUGUGUGUGUGACAGAGACAUUAAGAGCAAAGUACUUUAAGUGAAAGUGGUGGUUGGUAGGCCAUUAUCAAAAAGUCCAUUUACUAUUAAUAAGUGUCAUAAAAGGCUCCCACUUGAGUCUAGAAGCCGGGCUGAAUAAAUGUGAAAUAUAUAGGCAUCAAGUAUAAAUGCCAAAUCCUACUAAAAGGCUCAUCAAACGACCAUCACAUAUUACUCAUAUGAAGUGCGCUGAUCCGGGCUGUCGAUAUCCAUAACCUGCGUGUUCGCCCCCACAGGCGAGACAGUCAACAGUGUUGACGUUGAAUGAAUAGGAAGACAUGAUCUGAUAUCUGUCUGAAUGUACACACACACACACACACACACUCAAGCACACACUCAAGCAUACGUGCACGCAACCCACACACAUAUAUACGUCUGCUAAAUGCCUUAAAUGAUGUCAACGGAUCAUCAGCAGCAGGUGAUGCGUUCUGCAGACAUGCGUCUCAUGUCCGUCUCUGGUCCCACCCCGAAACCGUGCGAGUGCAUGAGAGAUGAGGGAGGAUCAAGU